AUUGAACGCUGGCGGCAGGCUUAACACAUGCAAGUCGAGCGAGCGGCGGACGGGUGAGUAAUGUCUGGGAAACUGCCUGAUGGAGGGGGAUAACUACUGGAAACGGUAGCUAAUACCGCAUACCAUCAGAUGUGCCCAGAUGGGAUUAGCUAGUGGGUGGGGUAAUGGCUAACCGAGGCGAAGAUCCAUAGCUGGUCUGGGAGGAUGACCAUCCACCCUGUAACGGAGACACUGUCCAGACGCCUACGGGAGGCAGCAGUGGGGAAUAUUGCACAAUGGGCGCAAGCCUGAUGCAGCCAUGCCGCGUGUGUGAAGAAGGCCUUCGGGUUGUAAAGCACUUUCAGCGAGGAGGCGUUACUCGCAGAAGAAGCACCGGCUAACUCCGUGCCAGCAGCCGCGGUAAUAC
rnacentral:rRNA from 1 species